GACGAACGCUGGCGGCGGGCUUAACACAUGCAAGUCGAACGGAAAGGCCCUGCUUUUGUGGGGUGCUCGAGUGGCGAACGGGUGAGGAACACGUGAGUAACCUGCUCUUGUCUUUGGGAUAACUUCAGGAAACUGGGGCUAAUACCGGAUAGGAGCUCCUGCUGCAGGGUGGGGGUGGGAAAGUCGCGGCUGGUGGGGCUGGACUCGCGGCUAAUCAGCUUGUUGGUGGGGGAGGGGCUGACCAAGGCUUUGACGGGUAGCCGGCCUGGGAGGGUGACCGGCCACAUUGGGCCUGAGAUACGGCCCAGACUCCUACGGGAGGCAGCAGUGGGGAAUAUUGCCCAAUGGGCGGAAGCCUGAUGCAGAGGCGCCGCGUGCGGGAUGACGGCCUUCGGGUUGUGAACCGCUUUCGCCUGUGACGAAGCGUGAGUGACGGUAAUGAGUAAAGAAGCACCGGCUAACUACGUG
rnacentral:rRNA from 1 species